AGUUGCUAAAAAUUAAAUUACAACAAGACAUGUAAUGGAUUAAUAGUGUACGAUAAUUAAAAAGAGUGUCAUUUUUUAUAAAUUACGAAAAAGUUACUUAUAUCUGAACUAAGAAAUGUCAUAAAUAUCACAAAACGGAAGCAGAAGAAAUAAAAUUGAAAGAGAGAAUGAGAAAGAGUAAUAUUUCAAACGUGAAGAUAGAGAAAUGAACAUUUUUUUGCUCAUUGGCAGUUGGAAGAUAAUGGUGUUAAAUCAUGUAUCUGCUCUGCAUGCAUACAACUUUCCCCUGAAGCAAAUAAGAAGAGAAACCUUUGUUUGAGUUAAUGAAUUAAAAACUAUUUGAAAGUGGUCUGUAGAACAGUAUAAAUCAGAGAGAUGACAACCGAAGUUACAUAGUCACAACCUUUCGAAAACUUAAAAGAAUUAUUCGAUAACGUGGGUAAUUUGAAACCAUGGCCCGAAAUUGAAUAACUAGGAGAUUCAACUGAUUAUGUGUACAGUGGUUUAGAAAUAAGCGCAGAAAGAACGCAGUUAGAAAAAUUGGAUAGAGAAGUACAUCCGAAAACGUUGCUUUGUCAUGAUAUGAAAGGUGGCUGCCUAGAAGACAGAUUUAUAUACGGAUCAGAAUCUUAUGAUUCUUACCUAUUUUAUCACUGGAGUAUUAUUGACACGUUUGCGUAUUUUAGUCAUCAUUUCAUAACUGUGCCACCUUUUGGAUGGAUUAAUGUAGCACAUAAUCAUGGUGUAAAAGUUCUUGGUACUGUAAUUACAGAAAGAGAAGGUAUCUGGGAUGUAAUACUUGAAUCUCAGGAAGAAGUAAGAAGAUUUGUAGAUGCACUAAUACUUGUUGCAAAAUUUUAUAAGUUUGAUGGCUGGUUAUUGAAUAUAGAAAAUACCAUUAAAAGCGAGCAAGUUCAUAAUUUAAUUUAUUUUGUAAAAUAUCUAACAGAAAAUAUUCAUGAAGCAAUUAGAAACUCUGAAAUUAUAUGGUACCGUAGCGUAUCCAAUGAAGGAAAAUUAAAUUGGCAAAAUGAGUUUAAUAGUAAAAACAUAAUUAACAGGAUAUUAUUAUGGAUUCGACAAGGUCUACGCUGUUAAAACAAAACUCCUUAUUCAAUUAUCAGAAAAAGAAAUCCACAUCAAAUACAGGCGAACAUCGGAAGAGACUUGAAAAUCACUGUGAUGGACGAUCCUCACAACUAAUACUACGAUAUAUUUUACACGGUAUUUACUACAAGCAAUUUAAACUACACCGCAACUAUUUAAGAACCAAGCAAGAAUAUCUGCGGCGUAUGCCCUGCUUUUUCCAACUUUACCUCUCAAGAGCUGUCCAAGCACCACCAACUACCGACCCUUACUUUGAAUAAUUUCAGUGAAAGGUUCCACUCAAACAAAACUGAUGUUGCUAUCAGAAAAAUAAAUCAAUUUUAGAUACAGGCGAACAUCACAGGAGAUUCGAAAAUCUCUGUGAUCCACGAUCCGCACUACUAAUACUACGGUAUCUUUUAUAUGGUAUAUAUACACGGCAUUUACUGCUCGUAGUUUAAACCAGACAGCAAUUAUUCUGGAACGAAGCAAGAAUAUCUGCGGGAUAAAAGUGAGGUUUUUGAAGAAGUAGAAGGACUAUUAUAUGGACCAGGAAUAACUGAUUAGCAGAUUAUCAACUUAGUCAAGAAUUACGAAGUGAACCUUUCCCGCCGAUUGAAGACUGCAGCGUAGGUAGGUAAGCAAGGUAAGCAUCCGUACGAGAUCACCUUGGUCGCGAAGAACGGACUGAUUGGGAUCAGAAUGAACAACGUGUAUUGCAUUGGGAUUGACAAGGAAAUAUGUUGGUGGGAAAAUACCAAAGGUACUCGACGAAGGAAGCCGACAUGGAGAAUUUUAUUUUGAAGUUUGACCGGAAUUUUGAUAAUUUAUUUAAGGAUCCAUGUGGGGCCUUAUAUGGCUAUUAUGUCCAGAAUAACCCGCGAGAGUCCGAACAGACGGUCUCCACGUGGAAAUCCAAAUAAAGCGGUUGGCGUGGAAGCUAUACCAGGGACGGCUGUCAAGGUGGAGAAAAGAACGGAUAUGGUGCUAAGAGUGUUAAACGCGGUACACAACAAUGGGAAGAUAUCGCCGAAGUGGAAGGUGGCGAGGUACUCAUUCCGAAACCGGGUAGAAACCCCGCACUUAUAUCGUCUUUCCGACCGAUCAGCAUGCUUCUAGCACUUAGUCAAGGCUGGGAGCACACGUUUAAGAAGCUGAUCGAGGAAAGUUUGGAUCUAGACCCUUUCCACGAGAAUCAGUACAGUUUCAGAAGGAGGAGGAGUACGCUAGACGCCUUGCAUCGAGUGAUGGAGUUGACCGAAAGCUGCAGAAAGAGAACAGGAUUUGUGUACUCACAGCAGUGAAUAUAAAGAACGCGUUUACCACUCUUAGUUGGAAUAAGAUCCUACUAGAUGUAGAAGCAAAAGGGAUGCCCCUAAAACUUUUGACGUUCCUCGACAAUUAUCUUGAGAAUAGGAAGAUCGUAGUGCAGAACACUGGGGGGACGGUGAAGAGAAAUGUCUUGGCGGGUGUCACUCAAUGAUCGAUACUUACAUUUAUUGGCAAAUACAGGAAUAAAAUACUCGAUCCAAUUGUAAAAUCUGCUUCCUGACGCUCACUUUAUUAUGGGAAGAAAAGAGAAGAAACUCCAGAACAUAAAAGAUGGAUAGAGUGAAUUGUUUAUGAAUGUUCUGUCAACCACGAGAGAAAAGUGUAGGAAAAAUGUGGGUAAACGCCGUGACUAAAAUGUUUUUGCAUUCAGAAAAAUUACAUGGCGCGAAUUACGUGAAUCAUAUCGAUACAAAGGCAUUUAAAAUAUUAAGCGCGAGGCUGAUUUUGAUAUGCUUUCUGUUGAAACGGCGUGCAGACGCAGUCGCGAUCACUCGGCAAGUGUGAGUUAGAGUAUAAGCAGACGAUGAUACACACAUCGCGGUGAUGAUUUAGUUUCAUUUUAUACAAAUUAUAAACGAAAAAUGACGAGAUGGGUGGAGAUGGAACUCAUUUCAAGUAUGAAAAUGAAGCUAAGAGAGCAAUGAAGUUGUUUAUCAAAAGUUUACCAGAAGUAUCCAGCAGAAUUCUUUGCUGAUGGAAUAAAGAAACUUAUCACGCGUUGCCAAAUAUAAAUUGAUGCAAAUGGCAAUUAUGUCGAAAAAUAAUUAAGAUAUUUUAUAAGUAAUGAAUUGAAUUUUCAUUUCUUUUCUGUUUCAUUUCAGUUCACGUUAAAAACGAAACUGCGCCUUCGUAUCUCGCAAAAUAAAAUGAAAAUGAAUAGUUCGUGUUGUUCGAUGAUUCCGUUAAACGAAAUAAUGUUAACAUCCAUAUAUCUUUCGUGCGUUCAUGUCUACAAAAAGCUAACUACAUACAUUAAAGGAAGGGGUUUAAAACAGGCGGAUUGUUUGGCUACAUUCUUAUACUACGAUAUAAAUAUACAUAACAAUAAGAUAGUUAAUAACUAUAUUAAAACAAUAUAUAUGAACAAUAUAUACAUACGUUCACCGCGGAAAGUAUGCUGACAUCCUACAAUAUGACCUGUUUAAAUCGGUUCUUAGUUGUUAUUAUUAUUCUUUUCUAUCUACCAAAUCUACCAAUCGGUCAAAACUCGUGCUUUGUAAACAACAGUGGUGUAACCGAUAUCGUAACGUUUCAUAUCAUAUAAAAAAGUAUUAUCCUAUUUAUGUCGAAAAACUGUAAAUUUAGAUUAUUUCGUACGUUUAAUUUGUCGUAUGAAAGGUAAACAUAGGACACGAAGCGGUAUUAUGUUUACGUUGAAACAAACGAAAGACAAGGACAACGUAAGCACAAGAGAACCGUUUCGCGCCCUUACCUGGCUUUCUUUCUUAAUAGUUCUUUUUAAUUUUCGCAUAAGAAAUACAAACAUAGAUCGAUGUAUGUAUUUAAAAAAAAAAAAAAAAAAAAUGGCUCCAUUUGCAAAAAUAAAGUUGAAAUGGAACUGUUACGGCGCGCUAGACGGUCAGUGCGACGUACCUUUCGGUCUGACCGCCGACGCCUAUCUCUCAUCAAACUGACCUGCAGUAACCUAAGGAACCACCAUAAACCGAAUCUUUUCAACUUACUUUCGAUUCAUACAAAUAUUAUUCGGUUUAUGGAUGGUCAUUUGAACAGUCAUUAGGUUUAUUGCACUCUCUUGUUAAUUACGGGGAAAGCAGAUGUGUCCCGUUAAAUGGCGGGUUUUUCCCAAGAACAAGGACACCCAUGAGCCAAAUAUGCAGGAGACUUUCUCCUCGCAUUAUGUGUAUUAAUAUUGGCCAAAAACCAAUGGGCAUCGCGGAUCGUUACCCUCACUAUUCUACCUAAAGGUGUGAACAACGAAUCCGCGUCCUUAGUUCAGCAAGGGUACACCCACACCGAGCUUUCCUCCUAAACAAGACGAGAUGGGUCAGUCACUGUUCUACUGGUCCUCAGACAGUCAAGUCUCUGCUCUUCUACUAAGCAGACAGUCAAGUUUCUGCUCUUCUACUAAGCAGACAGUCAAGUUUCUGCUCUUCUACUAAGCAGACAGUCAAGUCUCUGCUCUUCUACUAAGCAGACAAUCAAGUCUCUGCUCUUCUACUAAGCAGACAGUCAAGUAAACUGUUCUACUGCUCCUUAGACAGUCAAGUCUCUGCUCUUCUACUAAGCAGACAGUCAAGUCUCUGCUCUUCUACUAAGCAGUCAGUCACUCACUGCUCUUCUACUAAGCAGUCAAUCAAGUCACUGUUAUUCUACCAAGCAGACAGUCAAGUCUCUGCUCAUCUUUCGGCAAGCUAGUCUAAUAGUUUCACACGAUAUCGGGAUUCAUCGCGUUAACCGGUAUCCAUUACAACAUAUUUCUAUAUA